CAUAAUGUCAUUCAUUUGAUGUUGUGGGGAAUUAGGACUGUUACCUUGAAAAAAUUAGAGUGUUUAAAGCAGGCUAACGCUUGAAUACAUUAGCAUGGAAUAAUGAAAUAGGACAUCGCAUUCUAUUUUGUUGGUUUCUAGGAUCGAUGUAAUGAUUAAUAGGGAUAGUUGGGGGCAUUAGUAUUCAAUUGUCAGAGGUGAAAUUCUUGGAUUUAUUGAAGACUAACUACUGCGAAAGCAUUUGCCAAGGAUGUUUUCAUUAAUCAAGAACGAAAGUUAGGGGAUCGAAGACGAUCAGAUACCGUCGUAGUCUUAACCAUAAACUAUGCCGACUAGGGAUCGGAUGAUGUUGAUUUUUUAAUGACUCAUUCGGCACCUUACGGGAAACCAAAGUGUUUGGGUUCCGGGGGGAGUAUGGUCGCAAGGCUGAAACUUAAAGGAAUUGACGGAAGGGCACCACCAGGGGUGGAGCCUGCG
rnacentral:rRNA from 1 species